rnacentral:rRNA from 1 species
GAUGAACGCUGGCGGCGUGCCUAAUACAUGCAAGUCGAGCGAACAGACGAGGAGCUUGCUCCUCUGACGUUAGCGGCGGACGGGUGAGUAACACGUGGAUAACCUACCUAUAAGACUGGGAUAACUUCGGGAAACCGGAGCUAAUACCGGAUAACAUGUUGAACCGCAUGGUUCAACAGUGAAAGACGGUCUUGCUGUCACUUAUAGAUGGAUCCGCGCCGCAUUAGCUAGUUGGUAAGGUAACGGCUUACCAAGGCAACGAUGCGUAGCCGACCUGAGAGGGUGAUCGGCCACACUGGAACUGAGACACGGUCCAGACUCCUACGGGAGGCAGCAGUAGGGAUUCUUCCGCAAUGGGCGAAAGCCUGACGGAGCAACGCCGCGUGAGUGAAGAAGGUCUUCGGAUCGUAAAACUCUGUUAUUAGGGAAGAACAAAUGUGUAAGUAACUAUGCACGUCUUGACGGUACCUAAUCAGAAAGCCACGGCUAACUACGUG